GGGAUGAUGCACAAUCCAGAAGCCAGCCUAAAUCUUGGAAUGAGGGGUUGGGAGAGAAAAUCUGAACUCAAGGGUGGAGAUUAAAAGUCAAUUAGAAUAAGUGCUAUUUCGUUUUAACACUGAUAUGAAAUAGAAUAUCACAUUUUGAUGAGAGAGCUUUUGUUUAAAUUUUGCAGCUUAGUUAUCAAGUUAUAACUAUUCUUUUAUUUGAUGGAUUUGUUUUUAUGAGAUGAAGAAAGGCCUUGUUGGCAUUAAAACAGGGGUCCUCUGACUUCCCAGCCCCUUUACCCAGAGCAGCUGCAGUUUUCCAUUUAGAUAUUAGUAUCCACAAAGCAGUCAGGGGGUGUGGGGAAGAUGGGUGGGGUAGCAAUUUGAAUUUUGCUGCUUAUAAAAUAUAUUAAGAGCUACUUGGGCAGCAUUCAGCCAAAUUUAACUGCUACAGGCAAGCUAGUCUCAUCACAACUGUGCAGUGGUAAUGUAUUUAUGCUGACCUAUUUCUUCCCAGUUUGUUUUCCUGCGGCUUUCUGAUGUUCUGAAGCACAUCUUGAUCUGUACAGAGGUUUCUAUAUAGUAUUUGGUGAUCUGUUUUCAGCUUUCAUGGUUGCACCCUUACUGGUUGCAGGUCCAUCUUUCUUAUAUUAAAGCACUAGUGCAGUACAAUUGUGCCUACUCUUAUAAUCUUUCAGUUCGUGAUGA